rnacentral:rRNA from 1 species
GACGAACGCUGGCGGCGUGCCUAAUACAUGCAAGUAGAACGCUGAAGCGAGGAGCUUGCUCUUCUUGGAUGAGUUGCGCACGGGUGAGUAACGCGUAGGUAACCUGCCUUGUAGCGGGGGAUAACUAUUGGAAACGAUAGCUAAUACCGCAUAACAAUGGAUGACACAUGUCAUUUAUUUGAAAGGGGCAAUUGCUCCACUACAAGAUGGACCUGCGUUGUAUUAGCUAGUAGGUGAGGUAAUGGCUCACCUAGGGGAGGAGACCUAGCCGACCUGAGAGGGUGGUCGGCCAGACUGGGACGGAGACAGGGCCCAGACGCCUACGGGAGGCAGCAGUAGGGAAUCUGCGGCAAGGGGGGCAAACCUGACCGAGCAACGCCGCGUGAGGGAAGAAGGGUGUCGGAUCGGAAAGCUCGGUUGUAAGUCAAGAACGGGUGUGAGAGUGGAAAGUUCACACUGUGACGGUAGCUGAUCAGAAAGGAACGGCUAACUACGUG